UCUGGGUGAUGGUGCAUCUUCUGUAUGUUAUUUUUUCUUCUACAAUUUCAGUCCAGGUUUAAUAUAUUGCGAGAUAGUUUUUCUGAGUGUUUAUUUUGCUUCAAAUUUGAAAUGUUGGGAAAUCAAGUGGUGUUGUUGCUUACAAUUUGAAGCAUGUGUUCUUUUUUAUCUUGAUAUUCCUUAAGAGUUACAAGUGAGUGUGUUUUAUGCUUGAUUUUUCACGAGGUUUAAAUUAAGGUGAUUCUUUGAUGUUUAUGUUGUUCAUGGUUUACUUUUUUUGGUGUUGGUUUUGUUGAAGGAUUUAAAUGUGUUGAUUUUUGAAAGGGUUGAAAUGCAUGCAUUUUUUAGGUUGACUUUGCCUAGGCUUCAAAAUAGAUGCUUUCUGGGGGUUGAACUUGCCCAGGGUCUGAAAUGGAUGCUUUUCAAGGGUCGAUUUUGCCUGUGAUCUGACAUAUGUAUUUUGGGAAUUAGUUUUGCCAAGGGUUUGAAAUUUAUCCAUUUUUGGAGCUGAUUUUGCCCAAGGGUUCGAAAUGUAUGAUUUUUGGGGGGUUGAUUUCUGCUCAGAGUUCAAAAUAUAUGCUUUUUGGUGUUGAUUUGAUGUACAGUUUGGAAUGUAUGAUUUGCUUUGUGUGUUUUGUGUUGAAUAGGUGCGAUCGAGGGGUUUUUGUGCCCUUUGUGCUCUUCCCUUAUCACUGUCAUAACAAGGGGAAGUUAUAGAGUCCACAGUUUUGUUUGAAAAUCUGGGCAACAUGUCGUCUUCUUUUCAGAAAUGGCAGCAAGAAGAUGCUCAUGAUUACUUGCAUUCACUUCUUGAGGAUUUGGAUAAUUGUGUUUUGGGGACAGGACAUUUUAUUCCAUGCUCGUUUUUUCAAGGAGGUAGUUUUGUAUCUUUUGUGGUUGUCUCAGAAGUCAAGUAUGUUGUUUGUCAAAACCCAGUCGUAUGAAUUUGAUUUUUGGACUUGUUUUAGUUCCAAGAGCUGGAGGCUAAAAGGAUGGUGACCUUUUAUGAUAGGUAAAGUGCACAUAUUGUUGUCACUGCUCGAAUGCAUUUGAACCAUUUAUUGAUUUGAGCUUGGAGAUAGAUGAAGCUGAUUUCUUGACAAGUGCAGUCCAGUCAUUUACCUGUAUAGAAUCAAUUGUUCCUGAUUCCAAGUAUCGUUGAGACAUUGGCCAUCAAAAUUCACCAAUUCUGAAGUAGUUUAUAAUUUUAGCCAACUGUAUGAUGUCCUUGUAAUUCAACUGAAGCAUUUUGCUAACAAUGGGCUUUCGGGGGGUUUUGGUGAUUAAGUACAGAAAAUUGUUGCAUAUCAUCAAGUCUUGGACAUGGAGCCCUUUUUCAGCAAUCAUCAACAAGAAAAAGUUGAGAUGAAAUAUGAGCUUUAUUCAGUACUUGUACAUGCUGGAUUUUUUCUAAAUUCCGGUCAUAUUACUACUUUGUAUGCUCUGGCUAUGAUGAUUGGUAUGAGAUGGAUGAUUUACAGGUGAUAAGGGCAGCCAAGGAAACUAUCAUGCAUCAACAGGCAUAAAUUCUCUUUUAUUUACAAAAAAGGACCCAUUGGUUUCCAGAUAAUUUGAAUUAUAAAGUGAAGAAUGAAUCAAAUUUCUUCGGUUCUCCCAACUCUAUUCUAGAAGAGGCAUUUACAACUGAAGAAUUAUCUCGUGAGUUGAGUGAGGCUGAUGGUAGCGGUACUGAUUGUCCAGAUGGAAUAUAUUCAAAUGUAAAUUCUAAAAUAUUAUCCAAUGGAACUACAAUGAAUGGUGAUUCUUGACUGAAUACUUCUCAUUCCAGUUUGAAUGUUGACGUGAGGAACUUUGUUUUACUCUCUCAUCAUAUAUGUCUAAUGUGAGCCCACCAGUCUUAAAGACACUUAUGAAGCUUGCCCGACACACAUUUCUGGGAAAACCAGAACCUUUGAGAACUUGUUCAGAAGAGAAAGAAACAAAUAUUGGAUAGGAUUCUAGGGAGACUAAGUUUUCAUGUUUGCCAGUGGAUACAAAGAGUACAAAGACUUUGGAUAUCCAAGUUAGUGGUAAAAAGAGGCUCUCACCAACAAUGAGUUACCUGAAUAGAAAAAUACAAGAGGUGGAUGGGGCUUGGAAAUGGCAAAUUUUGUUAUGGUGUUGUAUCUUCUGGAUGUAGAGGAUGAGCUAAGAGUGACAGUCCAUCAUGAAAAGCGAGAAAAUCGAUUGUAGCCAAUUUUCAAAAAAAUG